rnacentral:rRNA from 1 species
AAACCAACAGGGAUUGCCUUAGUAACUGCGAGUGAAGCGGCAAGAGCUCAAAUUUGAAAUCUGGCACCUUCGGUGUCCGAGUUGUAAUUUGUAGAAGCAUCUUUUGGAUUGGUCCUUGCAUAUGUUCCUUGGAACAGGACAUCAUAGAGGGUGAGAAUCCCGUUCAUGGUGGGGAAUCCAAUUCUUUGUAAAGUGCUUUCGAAGAGUCGAGUUGUUUGGGAAUGCAGCUCUAAGUGGGUGGUAAAUUCCAUCUAAAGCUAAAUAUUGGCGAGAGACCGAUAGCGAACAAGUACAGUGAUGGAAAGAUGAAAAGAACUCCGAAAGGAGAGUGAAAAAGGACGUGAAAUUGUUGAAAGGGAAGUGCUUGAGAUCAGUCUUAAGGUUUAGUGAUCAGUCUUCCUUUUGGUUGGUGCACUCACUAUUUCUUAGGCCAACAUCAGUUUUCGCGGCAGGAUAAUGACAUUGGAAUGUGGCUCUUUCGGGAGUGUUAUAGCCUUUGUUGAUACUG